rnacentral:rRNA from 1 species
UCUCCGUGCAGCGCACGGCGAAUUGUAAUCUAGAGAGGCUAUUCUCAAAGAGUGGUGGCGCAGAAGUGUCCUGGAACGGACCGCCAAAGAGGGUGACAGCCCCGUACGUGGUGCCGCAGCUUAACGAGAAGGUCUUCAAAGAGUCGGGUUGUUUGGUAUUGCAGCCCUAAGCGGGAGAUAAACUUCUUCUAAAGCUAAAUAUAUGUGGGAAACCGAUAGCGAACAAGUACUGUGAAGGAAAGAUGAAAAGCACUUUGGAAAGAGAGUCAAAAGACCUGAAACCGUUGAGGAGGAAGCGGUAGAGAUGAAUUCUACGGCGGUGCGCGGGGAAGGCGAUCUAACCAUGGCGGGAGAGUCGUACGUCAAAGGCGGCCUUUUGUCCGAGGGGAAAUCGGUGACUUGCGCUUCGUUGUGAGGCCGGAUGAAGUUGCGUGACCGCAAAGGCUUUGCAGGAGUGGUGGCGUUCGCGUUGCAGCCUGUGGAUGUCGGUGGACGCGUGGCUUGAGGGUGCCUUGUGCGAUCCGGUCAAAAUGGUCUUUACCGACUCGUCUUGAAACACGAACCAAGGAGUCUA